rnacentral:rRNA from 1 species
AGAGUUUGAUCAUGGCUCAGGAUGAACGUGGGCGGUGUGCCUAAUACAUGCAAGUCGAACGGAGUUAAUAGCAAUAUUGACUUAGUGGCGAACGGGUGAGUAACGCGUUGGUGAUCUGCCUCGAAGUGUGGAAUAACGUUCCGAAAGGAUCGCUAAUACCGCAUGUGCUCUCGAUUUUUAGAAACUUGAGAGUAAAGGAUUUAUUCGCUUCGAGAGGAGCCUGCGUCCCAUCAGCUGGUUGGUAGGGUAACGGCCUACCAAGGCUAUGACGGGUAGGGGACCUGAGAGGGUGGCCCCCCACAAUGGAACUGAAACACGGUCCAUACACCUACGGGUGGCAGCAGUAGGGAAUAUUAGAAAUGGACGAAAGUCUGAUCUAGCAACACCGCGUGUGCGAAGAAGGCCUUCGGGUCGUAAAGCACUUUUUGGAAGGAAUAGGAAGGAAUGUACUUCCAGAAUAAGUCUCGGCUAACUACGUGCCAGCAGCCGCGGUAACACGUAGGAGGCAAACGUUAUCCGGAUUUACUGGGCGUAAAGCGCGUGUAGGUGGUACUGUAAGUAGGGCGUGAAAGCUCCCGGCUCAACUGGGAGAGGCCGUUCUAAACUGCAGAACUAGAGGAUGGUAGAGGGAGGUGGAAUUCCAGGUGUAGCGGUGGAAUGCGCAGAUAUCUGGAGGAACACCAGUGGCGAAGGCGGCCUCCUGGACCAUUCCUGACACUCAGACGCGAAAGCUAGGGUAGCAAACGGGAUUAGAGACCCCGGUAGUCCUAGCCCUAAACGAUGUAGACUAGGCGUCGGUGGUUUAAUCACCAUCGGUGUCCAAGCUAACGCGAUAAGUCUACCGCCUGGGGACUACGGCCGCAAGGUUAAAACUCAAAGGAAUUGACGG